rnacentral:ncRNA from 19 species
AAAUAGAUCAGUAUGGACAUAUCUGGGAGCAAAAUGUAUUUACUCGAAGAAAAACAAACACAACUGAAAGGGGAUCAAACCUUGACUUGCGCAGGAUGCAGAUCAAAAGUCACGC